rnacentral:rRNA from 1 species
AUUGAACGCUGGCGGCAUGCCUUACACAUGCAAGUCGAACGGUAACGGGCCUUCGGGUGCCGACGAGUGGCGAACGGGUGAGUAAUACAUCGGAACGUGCCCGACCGUGGGGGAUAACGAGGCGAAAGCUUUGCUAAUACCUCAUACGAUCUACGGAUGAAAGCAUGGGACCGCAAGGCCUUGCGCGGACGGAGCGGCCGAUGGCGGAUUAGGUCGUUGGUGGGAUGAAAGCUUCCCAGGCCGACGAUCUGUAGCUGGUGUGAGAGGAUGAUCAGCCACACUGGGAGUGAGACACGGCACAGACUCCUACGGGAGGCAGCAGUGGGGAAGUUUGGACAAUGGGCGCAAGACUGAUCCAGCCAUGCCGGGUGCAGGAUGAAGGCCUUCGGGUGGUAAGAUGCUUUUGUACGGAACAAAAAGCCUUCGUUUAAUACAGGAGGGUCAUGACGGUACCGUAAGAAUAAGCACCGGCUAACUACGUG